rnacentral:rRNA from 1 species
GACGAACGCUGGCGGCGUGCUUAACACAUGCAAGUCGAACGGUGAAGGGACCGGUUUUUGCUGGUUCUGGAUGAGUGGCGAACGGGUGAGUAACACGUGAGUAACCUGCCCCCUUCUUCUGGAUAACCGCAUGAAAGUGUGGCUAAUACGGGAUAUUCUGCGCCUGCUGCAUGGUGGGUGUGGGAAGGAUAUUGUUUCGGUGGGGGAUGGGCUCGCGGCCUAUCAGCUUGUUGGUGGGGUGAUGGCCUACCAAGGCGGUGACGGGUAGCCGGCCUGAGAGGGUGGACGGUCACACUGGGACUGAGACACGGCCCAGACUCCUACGGGAGGCAGCAGUGGGGAAUAUUGCACAAUGGGCGCAAGCCUGAUGCAGCGACGCCGCGUGAGGGAUGGAGGCCUUCGGGUUGUAAACCUCUUUCGCCAGUGAAGCAGGCCUGUCCCUUUUGUGGGUGGGUUGACGGUAGCUGGAGAAGAAGCGCCGGCUAACUACGUG